GCCUAGGGUAAGCCAGUCCCACCCUCGCCAGCCCCAAGGGGCCCUUCUGCCUCCCCAAGGGCCGCAGCUUGUUUGUGUCACUCCUGGCCCCACUCGCUCAGGAGCUGGGAGCCUGGGCAGCAAGUCGUGGCUGCUCUAUAGCUGGUGAGGCCCUCAAGGCUGUCGGGGUGAAGUCCUUGGCCAGAGCAAAAUGAGGGUAUGGGAGCACACAGCCACAUCCAUGGAACCCCGUUCCCCAUCCUCCUGGAUGGGGUUGAGGACAUCUCUGACCUCCAACCCCUCUCCCAGCUGCCCAGGAGGCCCGCAACAAGUUCGAGGAGGCUGAGCGGUCGCUGAAGGACAUGGAGGAGUCCAUCAGGAACCUGGAGCAAGAGAUUUCUUUUGACUUUGGCCCCAACGGGGAGUUUGCUUACCUGUACAGCCAGUGCUACGAGCUCACCACCAACGAAUACGUCUACCGCCUCUGCCCCUUCAAGCUUGUCUCGCAGAAACCCAAACUCGGGGGCUCUCCCACCAGCCUCGGCACCUGGGGUUCAUGGGUUGGCCCCGACCACGACAAGUUCAGUGCCAUGAAGUAUGAGCAAGGCACGGGCUGCUGGCAGGGCCCCAACCGCUCCACCACCGUGCGCCUCCUGUGCGGGAAAGAGACCAUGGUGACCAGCACCACAGAGCCCAGUCGCUGCGAGUACCUCAUGGAGCUGAUGACGCCAGCCGCCUGCCCGGAGCCACCGCCUGAAGCACCCACCGAAGACGACCAUGACGAGCUCUAGCUGGAUGGGC
rnacentral:sRNA from 1 species